GGCAAACAGACGCAUAACUGUGCAUUGUUCUUUGGGAUUUUGAGAGCCUUCAUCUCAAUUUCAACUUUAAAGCAGCUUAAUCUUUAAGGAACAUAUCUCUGAUCUGGGUAAUUUGUAGAACUUAAUUUGAGGGUCAUUACAUGUGAGGAUAGCAGGAGUUGAAGAUGCCAAGGACCUGAAGGGCUACUGGAGGGACAGGUGAAGUGAUUUGAAGAUGUAGCAUUUUGAAUCUCUUUCUGGCCCAUCCUCUGCUUCACACCAGAAUCAUUGUGACCUGUAGACCUGCAAAACAAAGGACCAAAGUUAGGUCUGGGGAAAAGCAGCAGCAAAAAUGAGUUCUUACUUCUGGGCACAAAAUGAAAGUAACAGACCUGAUUUACUCUGCGGGCAGCCAGCUGACUACCUUGUUGAAGAGAAACAUUUCACAACGCUUGUAUGCUUCAUUGUUGUUUUGGGAGGAUUCGUGAUAGGACACAUGGCCUACAAUUCUGUUGAGGUGCACCAAAUUGUCUACCCUCUUCUAAGAACAUCAAGUUUUUCACUUUAUUCUUACUUUUCACCUUUAAUUAUAUUUAUGGUUGCUUUGGAUGUAGAAUUUUAUACACUCAAGAAAAUGUUUUGGCAGGUUGAUAAUUUCUGCUUCUUUUUAAAAACUAGUUUAGUCCAUUAGUAUUUAUUGUAAUUAAAAAUAGAUUUAGAAGAGAAAAGAUUUGAACAGAUUUGGGACACCAAGGAAGAUAUAUGGAUGGAAUAAAAGCACUUGGAAAGACGCUCAACAUCCUAAGUCAUUAGAGAAAUACACACUAAAACCACAAUGAGAUACCACUGUGUACCUAUUGGAAUAGCAACAACAAACCUGUUAAUGCCAAGUGCUGGUGAAGAUAUGAAGACAAUGAAACUUGCAUACAUUGUUGGUGAGAAUGCAAAAUGGUACAACCACUUUGGGAAACAGUUUGGGAGUUUCUUAUAAAGUUAAAUAUAUACUUGCCACAUGACUCACCAAUCUCACUCCUGUGUAUUUACCCAAGAGACAUGAAAACUUAUGUUUACAAAACCUUUAUAUGAAUCUGUAUAGCAGCUUUAUUUAUAAUCUCAAAUGUCUGGAAACAAACAUUCUUCCAUUGGUGAAUGAAUAAACAAAUCGUGGAACAUCUUUCAAUGAAAUAUUACUCAGCAAUAAAAAAGGAAUGGAGUAUCGAUAGGCACAACAAGGAAGAAUUUAAAAUGCAUUGUGCUAAGAGAAAUAAGCCAGCCUCCAAGGGGUACAUACAAAUUAUAAAAUUACAUUCAUAGACCUUCUAAAAAUGGCAAAACUGUAGGUCUGGAGAACAUCAUUGGUUGCUAGGGAAUGGUGUUGGGGAAAAGAAUUGACCACAAAGAUAUAGCAUGAGGAAAUUUUUGGGAGUGAUGUAUCUGUUUUGUUUCUUAGUUGUGGUGUGAUUACAUAACUGUAUGCAUUUAUCAAAACUCAUAUAACUGUACACCAAAAGAGUAGAUUUUACUGUUUAUAAAUUGAAAAUAAAGUUUUUAAAAGAAAUAUAUUUUGACUUUUUCUCA
rnacentral:lncRNA from 1 species